rnacentral:rRNA from 1 species
AUUGAACGCUGGCGGCAGGCCUAACACAUGCAAGUCGAGCGGAGUGGCGGACGGGUGAGUAAUGCAUAGGAAUCUGCCUGGUGGUGGGGGAUAACGUCCGGCAACGGGCGCUACUACCGCAUAAUAGCAGAUGAGCAUAGGUCGGAUUAGCUAGUUGGUGGGGUAAAGGACUAACAAGGGGAAGAUCCGUCACUGGUCGUGGAGGAUGAUCAGUCACACUGGAACGGAGCCACGGUCCAGAGUCCUACGGGAGCGAGCAGUGGGGAAUAUUGGACAAUGGGCGAAAGCCUGAUCCAGCCAUGCCGCGUGUGUGAAGAAGGUCUUCGGAUUGUAAAGCACUUUAAGUUGGGAGGCGUUACCAACAUAAUAAGCACCGGCUAACUUCGUGCCAGCAGCCGCGGUAAUUC